GAAGUGCGAUAAGUGUCAUGACUUGCAGAUCCCCGAGAGCUGACAAAUUUCUGAAUGCAAAUGGCGGCCAACUCAUCCUUGGUCAUGUAUUGCAGAGUGUAGUUGUUCAUACUCAUCAUCCUCCAAAAUGCUUCAUUUUAGAGGGAUCUGCGCUUGUAAGGCUCACUGCCAUGCGAGCGUGAAAAGUCAGAGUGGAUGCCUCUCUAUCUUCAAUGAUGGAGAUGGCACCAACUUCGGAGUUAUCUUAGAAGUUCACCAUACUCUGUCUGUGAUGUAGUGUCAUAGAACUUUUCACUUAUUCACCUCUGCAAUGCAGGAAAACCCGCUGAACUUAA
rnacentral:misc_RNA from 1 species